UGUUGUUUCUUAUUACACGUAUCUGGGAGUGUAGUUACUUACUUUGAACGCGUCGCCAGCAGCCAUUUUUGAUGAUUUAAUGUGUCAUUCACUCCGAGCCGACGUGGGGUCUCUGUUCUCGUGUCAGCACUUUCGACGUGAGUUCAGCGUCGAGCUCUGAUUGGAUAAUAUUAUGUGGCGUUUUUGUGACGCAUGACGUAAGGUCACGUGUGGUAUUUUUCCUCCUGAUACUUUGGUUGAUUGAUUGAUUGAAACUUUUAUUAGUAGAUUGCACAGUUCAGUAAACAUUCCGUACAAUUGACCACUAAAUGGUAAGACCCGAAUUAAGUUUUUCAACUUGUUUAAGUCGGGGUCCACGUAAAUCAAUACAUGGUAAACUUCAACAAUUCGCUCGUUGCAGAGAUACAAACCUAAACGAGGAAAGAAGUGAAAAGAAAUAAAACGAAGGAAAGAAAAUAAUUCAAAACAAGGAACAUCAAUCCUCAACAAGAGCUGGAGGUUCUUUUUCUUCACACUGUUAACUAGCUGCGUACGCUGGAAACGUGGAGCAAGGACAGAAUAAUGAUCGUGUUGACAGUGCACUGUGUAAGGCGAUGGCACGGAAGGACAACAUUGCUUCGGGAGCACCUGAAGAGGAGCCAUGGAUGAAGGGAAUAACUCACGAAAGAAACAAGCGAGCAUUAGCGACUUGGUACAAAGGAAGGUGUGCACAUCACAGCAAGCGGCUGCUUUGACUGAUGCUAUCCUGAAUAUGUUGCUAACUGACAUGAGGCCACUAUCAAUGGUGGAGGAUGAAGGUUUUAGACAAAUGAUUCACGUCCUCAACCCUGGUUACACUCUUCCCUCAAGGACCCAUUUUACCAAACUGAUGGAGGAAGUACGAGCAGACAUUCCAUGCUGUGUAGACUGACAUAAAAGCCACCCAGAGCAAAAUUGCUCUCACUACUGAUGUGUGGACAAGUGUAGCCUACCUUGGCAAUACAUGCCACUACAUUGGAGACGAAUGGAACAUGAAGUCAAUCUGCCUUACGACCAUGCCACCAGAUGUAAGACAUUCAGCAUCCAACAUUUCAGAAUGGUUGCAAUAGGUAAUAGCCAGGUUUGAAAUUCCCUUAAGCAAAAUUAUUGCUAUUGUGCAUGACAAUGGUGCACUUUAUAAAAAAAAAAAAUAACAUUUUUGUAACACUGGCCUUAUUUUAUUUGGCAAGUCGAAAGGACAUGGUGCCAAUAUGCUGUUUUUUUACAUAAAGUAUUGGAAAGGAUAGAAAUGUAUUUUGUCCCUUGUAUCCGAUUAUUAUCCAAUUAAUAAAAGAAAUAAUCAAGAGAUUAACCGAUUCUCAAAUUAAUCGUUAGUCGCAGCCCUAAUUUUUACUGUAAAAUUGUGUUUUUAAUGGUGUAUUACUGUAGAAAAACUGGCAGCUAAGUCGCCAUAAUAAAAAAGGAACUGGUACUGUUUUUCCAUGAACAAUAAAAUGUUGUAAAAACCAAUGUCAAUUUAAUAGCAAUAUUCUGGCAAAUAAGUUACCAACUUUUUUUUGAAAAAACAAAACACAAAAUAGUGGUACUGUUUUUGUAUUUACCAUAAAAUGUUGUAAGAAAAUUUAAAACAAUAAUGAAAUCCAGAGGCACAUUCGUACAUUAUUAACUGUUACAAGCGGCCCUCUGAUGGCAGCCAUAACUGCUAUUCAUAAAUGAAAACCGCUCUGACAUCCCUGACGUAGUUGACUAGCCCUGGAUUACUGAAAUGACGUUAUCAAGAUAACUUUUAAAAUUUACUGAAAUUAAAUUAAAUGUUGAUAUUGUGCCAGAAGAGUGAGUCCAUUAUUGUUCUUUUGCUGUUGUUAGAUUGUAAUAGUACAUAUCAGCUUUAUUGUGAUUAUAUUCAGCGAUAUCAUCACAGAGUAUUCCAUUAUUAUUUCCCUGGCGGUGACAAUCGGUACUUAGCAUGAUUAUCCUCAUUAAAGGCCGACUGAAACCAACUACUACCGACCACGCAGUCUGAUAGUUUAUAUAUCAAUGAUGAAAUAUUAACAAUGAUGAAAUAUUAACAUUGCAACA